UUUAAUACGUAAUAUUUUAGCACAAAUUUAGCGACCAAAAUAAGUAUUAUUUUAUAAAAUAUAUUUAAUAUGAUAAUUAGUCACUAAAUAGUUUUUGUAGCUAAAACAUUGUUUAGGAUAAAUCAUUCCAGAGGUCCCCAUAUUUGUAGCGAAUUCUCAAGUAGGUCCCCCAAUUUUCAUUUGACUCAAUUGGGUCCCUAAUUUUGAAAAACAACAACAAUUCAGCCAUAACCGUUAACGGUCGUCAAUGACUAUUAAAUGAACAGUGAUUGGACAUGCUGAGGUGUUGUUUUUUACUGACGUGGCUCAAUCAGAAUUAAUUAAUAAUUAAGUUUUAAAAAUUAUAUUUGAAAAAUGAAUAAUAGAAAAGGUCGAGAAUACUAGAGGACUUAGUAUUUUGAAAUAGAUUUGGGGGAAAGCAUCGACCUAGGGUUCUUGCACGAAGAGAAGCGAAGCGAACCGAAGAGAAUAGAAGGGGCAGAAGGUGCUGGAAUCGAAUUGCUCUAGAGGUUUUCCAUAUCUGAAUCGCGAUUUGGUUUAAAUAGAAGGGCAGAAGAUGAGUAAGAAACUGGAAAAAACAGUUAGGGAAAUCCAAGAGUAAAAGGAAUUGAAAUUCGUGAAAAAAAUAGUAGAAAAUGGAAUGUUAAUAUCUCAAGGUGUAUGGCUUAUAGGGCCAAAGCGAUUGCAGCACAAAAUGUUGAAGGGUCCUUUAAAGAACAAUACAAAAGGAUAUAUGAUUACACGCAUGAACUUCUAGCAAGAAAUCCAGGAUCAACAGUGAAAGUUAAUGUUGAGGAGAAUGAAGGGGAGCCAAUAUUCAAGAGGUUUUACGCAUGUUUGAAAGCAUGCAAAGACAAUUUCAUUUCAUGCAGACCUAUAAUUGGAUUGGAUGGGGUUUUCUUGAAAGGGAAAUACGGAGGAGAGUUGUUAACAGCCAUUGGUCGAGAUGCUAAUGACCAAAUGCUGCCUAUUGCAUAUGUAGUAGUGGAGGUUGAGAAUAAGGAUUCCUGGUCCUGAUUUUUAGAGCUGCUUAUUGAGGACCUUGGUGGACCUGUAGUGUGUACAUCCUAUACAUUUAUAUAUGAUCAGCAAAAGGGGCUGCUACCAUCCAUACAAGAACUUCUGCCUGGAGUUGAUCAACAUUUCUAUGUAAGGCACUUGUAUGCCAAUUUCAGAAAGAAAUUUCCAGCCAAAAGUCUGAGACGUCUUAUGUGGAGAGCAGCUGCAGCCACACACCCACAAGCAUGGGAAAGGGAGAUGAGGAAUAUAAAAGAUGUGAAUGAAGAUGCAUUUAAGCAUCUGAUUGCAAUCCCACCCAGUUGGUCAGCAGAGAAAUUAUUUGAAGUUAGGCACAUCUCGUAAUUAGGGGAGAAGAUUGUUGUCAAUAUAGACGAACAAUCGUGCACAUGCAGGAAAUGGAGUAUAAGUGGUAUUCCCUGCUGCCAUUCACUAUCUGCAAUGAAGUUUCUAAACCUCAAUGGAGAAGACUUCAUCCCAACAGUCUUUAAGAAGUCCAUUUAUGAAGAGAUAUACACUUCCAUAAUAUUUCCCAUCAAUGGUCAGAGUUUAUGGGAGACAACUCCAUACCCUGAUGUCUUACCCCCCUCGAAGAGAAUUUUACCAGGCAAACCGAAGAAAAAAGAAGAUUAGAGCAAUGGGAGAUCAGAAGAGAUGAAACAAGACUGAGAAAAGGUGGUUUACAUAAAACUUGUUGUAUUUGUAAGCAAAUUGGGCACAAUAGAAGGGCUUGUCCGAAAGCAAUUGAAAUUCAUAUGGCUCAAUUAAGGGAAGCCCAACAGCAACGUCCAACU